AUGGUACUCCCCAAUUCCUAGCAGGAGAAAAUGUGUAAAUACAUAAAACAUAUAUUAAAGCUUUAAUAUAUGCUUUUAUGUAUUUACACAUUUUCUCCUGCUAGGAAUUAGGGAGUACCAU